GUGCUUGCUGUAGCAGCAUGUACACUAAAAUUGGAACAAGAUAGAGAAGCUUAGUAUGGCCCCUGCUCCAGGAUGACAUGCAAAUUUGUGAAACAUUCCAUAUUUUA